UUUACUUAGGCGAGUAUUGGCGCGCUAAGUUUAGGACUUAGAUUUGAUAAUUUCAAGUAAAU
rnacentral:tRNA from 1 species